CUUGAUGGCACCCAGCCACAGCGGGCUGUCCGCCGACCGCUCCCUGCCGUACGUCGCCAGCAGCGCCUGCGCCUC
rfam:Streptomyces zinciresistens K42 contig00003, whole genome shotgun sequence.